rnacentral:rRNA from 1 species
GGGAGUAAUGUAUGGGGAUCUGCCCGAUAGAGGGGGAUAACUACUGGAAACGGUGGCUAAUACCGCAUAAUGUCUACGGACCAAAGCAGGGGCUCUUCGGACCUUGCACUAUCGGAUGAACCCAUAUGGGAUUAGCUAGUAGGUGGGGUAAAGGCUCACCUAGGCGACGAUCUCUAGCUGGUCUGAGAGGAUGAUCAGCCACACUGGGACUGAGACACGGCCCAG